rnacentral:rRNA from 1 species
GGGACUAGCGUUGUUCGGAAUUACUGGGCGUAAAGCGCACGUAGGCGGCUUUGUAAGUCAGGGGUGAAAUCCCGGGGCUCAACCUCGGAACUGCCUUUGAUACUGCAAAUCUCGAGUCCGGAAGAGGUGAGUGGAAUUCCUAGUGUAGAGGUGAAAUUCGUAGAUAUUAGGAAGAACACCAGUGGCGAAGGCGGCUCACUGGUCCGGUACUGACGCUGAGGUGCGAAAGCGUGGGGAGCA